GACGAACGCUGGCGGCGUGCUUAACACAUGCAAGUCGAACGCUGAAGCUCAGCUUUUGUUGGGUGGAUGAGUGGCGAACGGGUGAGUAACACGUGAGUAACCUGCCCCCUUCUUUGGGAUAACGCCCGGAAACGGGUGCUAAUACUGGAGAUUCACUGGUCUUCGCAUGGGGGCUGGUGGAAAGGGUUUUUCUGGUGGGGGAUGGGCUCGCGGCCUAUCAGCUUGUUGGUGGGGUGAUGGCCUAACAAGGCCUUGACGGGUAGCCGGCAUGAGCGGGUGAACGGUCACAUUGAGACGGAGAUACGUCCCAGAGUCCUAAGGGGUGCGGCAGUGGGGAAUAUUGGACAAUGGGCGAAAGAGCGAUGCAGCGACGCCGCGUGAGGGAUUGAGGCCUUAGAGUUGUGAACCUCUUGAGCUCAUGGUCAAGCCGCAACAAUGGUUGUGGUGAGGGUAGUGGGUAAAGAAGCGCCGGCUAACUACGUG
rnacentral:rRNA from 1 species